UUUUUUACAAAUAACUUAAAACCCUUUUUUUUUUCUAUUUUGUGUUUCCAGCUCCCAUUUUGAAAAGCAAAAAAACAGAGAGUUCCUUGGCUCUCUCUCCCUCAUUUCCCCUUUUUCUAGGGUUUAUACCCAUCAUUGCCGCCGCCAUGGAGCCACCGUAGGUGGUGGUCGGAGUUGCUUGAAUGGGGUCUUUUGACCCCGAUUUUGGGGGCGCCUGAAGGCCCUAUUUUCUUAGCCCGAAAAUCUGAAGGGAGAAACCCCCAUUUUCCUUUUUGAGAGCUGAUUUCAACGACGAAGUAGGGCUCCGAUGUCGCGGCCCCGAAGUUCAGGUUAUGGGAGUGUCAGGCGCAUUGAGGAGGAGGACAUGCGCGGGGUGUGGUGGCCGAGCGUUGAACGUGCUGCCCGAGCACGUGGGGAGCGGCGGCUAGAGGCUUGGGGCUAGGGUUGGCUGCUGAAAAUUCUUAAGAUUAGUGGGCUGUUAUUUGGGCUCUUUUUUAUUGUUUUGGGUUUUGUUAUUGUUUUAUUUGUCUGGGCCAAAAAUUGGCCAUUACAUUAUGGAUUGAUACUAUAUUUUCAUAAUUUUAAUUAAUUACACUAGCGAUUUCUGGUUGAAUCAUCAAUAUAA